rnacentral:misc_RNA from 1 species
CCGCAUAGAACUUCAAAAAGGUGCGCGCGUGUCGCACAACACAGUGACGUGCCAUCCGCUCAGUUGUCUCACUAUUCCUUCGUUUUCUUUUCAUGCGCCGUUAUCAGACACCUACCGCACCCGUCCUCGCCUUACAUACGCAUACCUCAUAGAGGUCAAGCUUCCUUCACCCAUACAGACACGCAGACGGAGACCCUACCGAGUGCAUCAGUGGACUUUCCACAAGGGAGUUUGCGCCGCCGCUCUCGCGCGACAGCGGAUAGACCUGCACAUUUUCAUCACCAUCACUACACGAGGGGCCGACUAUCUCACGCCUUCUCGCACCGUCUGCGUUCCUCCUCGGGCACCACUGCAGUUCCUUGCUGACACACUCUGUGCCACUCUCUCUCUCCCCUCCGCAGAGUUGGGGCGUCGUCGCUUUGCUGUCGUAUACCGGCCACCAAGCCGCUCUGCUGUUUUCGUCUUUUUUUUUAUUGGGUUGCAGCGUAACCGCAUCGACGACGCCGCAACGGGCGGCUGCACUUGUCAUGAUCACGGCUCGGUCACCUUAUCAAGUGUACAAGGCGACGGACGUUAAUGGUACCGUCGCCAAUUUCAACUCGCUGCCGUCGGAGGAGCUGCUGCCGUACAAGAUCCUGUCGUCUGAGGAGACAUUGUUGGCGUCACUCUUUGUUGUCGAAGGCAACGAGGAACAACGAGAGAGGUACGCUGUCUCAGCCCUGCACGCCGCGAGGGUGUAUAUUUCUCACCUCAUCAGCUACAUCCCUCUCUCCGCACGCUCGCAGACGGCAAAGAAAGUCCAGAUCAACAUUGACGCGGUCGUGCGCACCGUUAUGCUCUUCGCCGCCAACGCGGAAUUGCUGCAGAGCGUCAAGAAAAUGGUACUCACGAACGCCUCGGGGGAGCAGGUGUCACUGAAGGAUCUCUCAGACCUGGAAGGCGCCCUGAAUGCGAUGGAAAAAGUGUACCGGCAGAAGGCGAAAGGGGCUGGGGAGAAGGUGGACAUGCUGCGCAAGGUUGCGCCAGAACCGGUGAUCGUCUCAUCCAGCGCCGCAAAGUCGCAAGGUACUACGCCAUUGACGGCGGGAGAGGACAGCGGCAACGCUGCGUCGAACUCGACCGGCUGUUCUCGGCAGCGCCGCCGUCGCUCAGAGUCCACCGACGGCCCUGCCGGCCACGCAGACUUGCACAGUGACGCCGCCGCCCUCAAGGUGGCGAAGAUCGAGGGCGGCACAGGCAAUGCUCCUCUCGCCGCUGUGUAUGCCCCAAAGGUGUCUGGCGGGCCCAAGAGCGUGCGCACCGGCCUGCGUGGCGGCCUCGUGUGGGGCCGCCUCCGCGGUCUGACAAACAACGAAAAGAAGGUGGCCGCUAUGUUGCAAGCCAUGAUUCAGGUACUCGGGCACAUCUUCGCGACCAAGUUCAACGACCUCGUACCCAUCUUCGACAUGCUCGACGAGCGACUCAGGGCGGUACAGGCCAUCAUCGAUGCCGAACGCGCCCAGUACAAGGCGAAGGAGGACAAACGAAUUCCAGAACCAUUUCACGAGGUCACCCUGGAUGCCGUGCAGCUUGCUCUGCAGCAUUCGAGUGAAACCUUCCGCAACGACGAGGAGUGCCGCUACGAGCUCGAUGAGGACUUGCUGCACCCCAUCGCCCACGCGUGUCUGCGUGUUAUCAACCACAUCGAGGGCUUCUCGACCGAGCCCUUCAAAGGCCCGACACCAGAGGAAUUGUUGAAGAAGCAGCAGCUGCGGGAUGCCGCACGGGCCAAGCGCGAGGAGGCAAAGCGCCGGAUUCUGGAAAAGGCGGAGGCCAAGGCAGAACUGGAGCGCAAGAAAGAGGAGGAGCGACAGCUAAUGCGGCGGCGUCUUGGCGACGGCAGUGACGAGCACGAGAAGGAUCUUGAAGAGGACACCACGCUCGUCACUCCGUCCACGUUAGGGUACGUGGCCUACACCGCAGAGCUGCCGCUUGGCACCCCUGAACUGUUCGAAAAGGCGCUGUAUGUGUGGAGCAUGCUCUCCUCGGUGCCGCGUGCACUGAAUCUGUCGCAGAUGCACUUUGCCACCUUCGUUAAGGGCAUCGAGUGCGUGGACCAGGACGCGAAUGGGCUGAUGGAGGAGGUGACCAAGUGUCUGCUCGACGUUUCAAUGGAAAGCGUUCGCCUCCGCUCUCCGGGGACGCCGCGUAUCGUCACUCGCGGGAAGAACUGGUUCGAUGCGCUUGUCGAGUUCGUUGGAGUGGCCAGUGGAAACAAAAAGAAGCGGCGGCAGCAGCAGCGCCGGGUUUCCAGCACGGAAGACGAGGAGGAGAUUGACAGCGACAGCGACAGCGACGCGUCCUCCUCGACAUCGUCGUCGUCGUCGUCCUUUUCUUCGAAAGAGACGGACGCCAAAACGUCGGCUGAGGAGGAGGACACGUCACCAGAGAAGCCGGCAGCUGCCAUGGCGACGAGAGGCGAAGGCGCCGCGGAGGCAGCCGCCGAAGAGGAGGUGGAUACAGAUCCGUUCUCCCUGGAGCUGAAGGCGACGAUGGACAAGAUAGCGGGGCUGCGCUCCUUGGCGUCGUGGGGCAACGUCGAUGCCAUUGAUCGGCUCAAUCUGCUUCAGUUCUGCGUGUUGGAGGCGCUUGGCAGCGACGAAGUGCGCAACGAAGCGGACCGUGUGCAGAAGGACCGCGAAGAGGAGGCACUGAACGCCGAGAAGAAGCUCAGGGAGAUUCGCGAGGAGGCGGAGAAGGAGUUAAAGGCGUUGUUGCGCACGCUGCCGUCCGUGGCAUCCACGGCUGCCCGCAAAAAGAAGACACAGAACAGCACGCAAAAGGCCGAGCCAGUGACAAAGGAGGACAAUCAGCACACCAACAACGCCGAGGAUGAGAAGAAGGGCAUCGACGAGGCGGAGGGGGAUAGCGAGACGGCGACGGGAAAGGACGUGAGGGAGACGGCGCAGAGGAAUUUCGAGGCUGAGCGCGAAGCCAUCCUCCAAGAAGUCGACCGCAAGCGUGAGGAGGUCUACGCGCGUCUGCUCGGCGUGCAGGAUGGCAAGGACGACGGCGCCAUUGUCGAGCCGCUUGGCAUGGACCGCUAUCGGCGCCUCUAUUGGCGUUUUCCAAUGGAGCGAGUAGUCUACGUGCAAAGUGUUCCGAACCUCACGGCCGUCACCUUUCCGGUCCUCGCAGAGCCGCCGGAGCUCAAGCAGCGCCGCGCCUCCUCGCGGUCGCUCUUACUCGAUGACGAGGAGGAGAUCUCCAUGCUGGGCGGGCGGCGGCGUGGCGGCAGAGGUGCGACCGCGGCGGGCGAUGCGGCCCGCGCGAAGGACGACAAGGGUGUGGGCCAGACGAGGUGGGGUGUUAUUCCACACGAAUACCUCAGCACUUUUGUGCAAACCCUGGACCGUCGCGGGGAACGGGAGGCGCCGCUGCGGCACGCACUUGAGACGCUAGAGCCGUACCUUACUGCUUUGGAAGAGCCGCGAGAGGGGCGUGAGACGCGGGCCCGCGCGCACAUGUUCGGGUAUAUGAACCUCCUAAAGGUCGACUUCACGUCCUAAGCUAACAGAGGGCCUUCUUCUCCGCUAUCUAGAGCACGGAGCUAUCUCUGUCUCGAGCGCGACAGCCAGCGGCCGUACUUAGCGGUGGUCUCUAGAAAGGAAUAGAAUAAGCGCCCUCGCGUCUUUCCGUAUGCAGGAUGUGCCACAUAAUUAAGCCACAAACCGCUGUUUGUUCCCUGUUUUCCUUCUUCGUGUGCUGUAGCUUCUUACACACAGACCUACUGUAAAGCUGGAUGAGCCCUGCAUGUACUACGGGCAGAGCUGGUGGAGUUUUGGUUCCAACUGUGCUCUGCCCAUAUCGCGCGACGCUCUGCGCUGGCUGCACCGACCGUGCCAUGACUUCUGGCUGCCCUACGGAACAACAGACCAUGCUCCCGGGAAUCCCGAGCCGGGCCUCUUUUUACCGUGUUUCCACAAAUCCUCCUCCUCUCGCGCUCUUUCCUGCUAUACUGUGGUCGCGUAUCAUCAUUCUCGCAAACUCUCCUCUUCACGUCAUACAG